rnacentral:misc_RNA from 1 species
GAUGAAGAACGUAGCGAAAUGCGAUAAGUAAUGUGAAUUGCAGAAUUCAGUGAAUCAUCGAAUCUUUGAACGCACAUUGCGCCCGCCAGUAUUCUGGCGGGCAUGCCUGUCUGAGCGUCAUUUCAACCCUCAUGCCCCUAGGGCGUGGUGUUGGGGAUCGGCCAAAGCCCGCGAGGGACGGCCGGCCCCUAAAUCUAGUGGCGGACCCGUCGUGGCCUCCUCUGCGAAGUAGUGAUAUUCCGCAUCGGAGAGCGACGAGCCCCUGCCGUUAAACCCCCAACUUUCCAAGGUUGACCUCAGAUCAGGUAGGAAUACCCGCUGAACUUAAGCAUAUCAGCGGAGGA